rnacentral:misc_RNA from 1 species
GAAAAGUAAAAAAAACAGCAAACAUUGCAGCAUAACAAACUAAAACACUCUUCUUGAUCUUUGGUUGAAGUUUCAUAGUUAGUACAAGGCUAUGUUCAUCCCCAAAUUCCUCCUGGCAUAGCCUAUGAGGUUUUCAAUCUCUUCAUCAUCAACGAACCCAUUGCGAUUAGUGUCCGCCAGUCGGACCCCACGGCUGCCUUUCCAGGUGCUGAAUCUCCCUCCCAC